CAAACAGUUAAAGGUGUGCACAGACUGCCGUGCGUGUUUGUUGGCUGUUCACUGAGAGGCAGAGAACUAUAGCGUCCAGCUCUGUUCUGUUGGAGCUGAGCACUGAAACGAUCCUUUAGCUGCUGGGUAUCUGCACCAGAUCCACGUGUAGAUCCUGAGGAAGGAAUCAGCAUUGUAACUGUGUGUUCUUCUCAUCAUACUCAGGCCACAGGCCAACAUGCUGCUGGACGCCUUCGGCUGCACUGUAGCCAACAGGUACGGGGAUCUGCUGGAUGACGAUGCGGACCCGUUCGACUUGAUGAGCAAAGUGGAAAUGGAGAGGGAGAAAGAGAAAAAGAAAAGGAAGGAAGACAAGGAGAAGAAAAGCAAGCAGAAGAAAUCUGGUCAGAAGGAGUCCCAGAAGGACAGACGCGUCCCCUUCGGGUCGGAUGGUCCAGAGCCGUCUCCAGUCCGUCAGCAGCAGCAGCAACAGCAGGCCCGUCCUGGACCAGUGACUGAGAGGGGAUAUGGCCGAGAGGAAGCCCAGAGGGGCACAAAGAGGGCUGCCUUAGGGGAGCAUUGGGCCAACCAAGAGAAGUAUCCACAAGAGCUUUCCACCUCAAAGCCUUCCUAUGAUGGAGGCCCCGACCUCAGGGGCAGAGGGGGGAUCAGUGGUCGGAGAGGAGUAAGAGGUGGAGGAGGAUACUCAAGGAACUCUGACAACUUCAACCAGAGGGGCAAGAGAGGGUUUGAUCGACACAAUGGAACAGGUAUCUCUCCUGAGGAGAAAAGAGGAGGCAGAGGACCCUGGAACUGGGGCAGUGUUGAAGAAGCUGCAAGAAGUGAAUUAAUGGAGGUGACUACAGACGCUCCCAUCAAAUCUGAGGGGCCCCAAAUACCUGCGGAGGAAGAGAAUCCCAAUCGAGCAAUGGAAGAAGAGGAACGAGAGAUUGUGGUGCAGGUUGCCAUGGAGAUGAGUCUGGACGAGUGGAAGGCGAUGCAGGAGACGAGUCGUCCCAAGACUGAGUUUAAUAUCCGCAAAGCCGAGAACAAGAUUCCCUCCGAAGCUAAGGUCAUCCACCAGUCUAAGCACGUGGAGCAUUUACCUCCAUCUUCAGAAUGUGAAGGAGGGGACCCUGGAAGACGUGGAGGAUGAAGGCAACUUCCUCCGUAGGUCCAUGAAUGACAUCACCUCCCUUCUGGACAUCAAUUUCGGGAGUCUUGGGCGCCCCAGUCAUGGGGGUCGAGGAAGGGGGGCCCGAGGUGGCCCGGCUAGUCGCCCAGAGAGAGCCAAGCCCAUACUGGAGAAGGAGGAUGAACUGGCUCCCAACCCAGAUGACCCAGAAGACUUCCCAGCACUGUCAGCAGGAAGAUAACUGCAUUCACUUGUCAUUUACCUCCUGUGGGGAAUAUUGGUUGCACUUGACAAAAGAAAACACUUUUCAUGUUUCUGCUGUUCUUAAGGUUUGGGGUUUUAUUGUACUUGAAUUAUUUUGGUCUACUGCACAGAAAGCACUGUUCAGCAUUUGACUCCUGAAGAAUAAAUGCUUUUGCAAGUUUA